GUGAAUCAUCGAAUCUUUGAACGCAAAUUGCACUCCCUGGUAUUCCGGGGAGCAUGCCUGUUUGAGGGUCGUUAGAUUAAAAAAUCGAGGCGUCGCUCUUUUUUUUAAGGGUGAUCGCGUCGGAAUUGAUGCGCCGUUUAAUGUUAAUUCAUGUCAAAGUGGCUUAAAAUUUCAUCCAUCCGUUUCGAUUAUAGCGUCUUUAAGAUCAAUCUGGAUUAAGAACGCG
rnacentral:misc_RNA from 1 species